rnacentral:rRNA from 1 species
UGCAGUCGAACGGUAGCAGGAAGUGCUUGCACUUUGCUGACGAGUGGCGGACGGGUGAGUAAUGCUUGGGAACUUGCCUUUAGGUGGGGGAUAACAGUUGGAAACGACUGCUAAUACCGCAUAAUGUCUACGGACCAAAGGGGGCUUCGGCUCCCGCCUUGAGAGAGGCCCAAGUGAGAUUAGCUAGUUGGUGGGGUAAAGGCCUACCAAGGCAACGAUCUCUAGCUGUUCUGAGAGGAAGAUCAGCCACACUGGGACUGAGACACGGCCCAGACUCCUACGGGAGGCAGCAGUGGGGAAUAUUGCACAAUGGGGGAAACCCUGAUGCAGCCAUGCCGCGUGUGUGAAGAAGGCCUUCGGGUUGUAAAGCACUUUCAGUUGUGAGGAAAGGUUGGUAGUUAAUACCUGCCAGCUGUGACGUUAACAACAGAAGAAGCACCGGCUAACUCCGUGCCAGCAGCCGCGGUAAUACGGAGGGUGCGAGCGUUAAUCGGAAUUACUGGGCGUAAAGCGCACGCAGGCGGCUUGUUAAGCUAGAGGUGAAAGCCCCGCGCUCAACGUGGGAACUGCCUUUAGAACUGGCAGGCUAGAGUCUUGGAGAGGGGAGUGGAAUUCCAGGUGUAGCGGUGAAAUGCGUAGAUAUCUGGAGGAACAUCAGUGGCGAAGGCGGCUCCCUGGCCAAAGACUGACGCUCAUGUGCGAAAGUGUGGGUAGCGAUCAGGAUUAGAUACCCUGGUAGUCCACACCGUAAACGCUGUCUACUAGCUGUUUGUGUAUUUAAUACGUGAGUA